GCUCUAUAAGUUGAACCUUUGUGCAAUUAUCUUGAUAGCACUUAUUCUAUUUUUUUAAAUUAUGUUUAGCAAAAUCUACAACCAUUUUUCCAAUUAAAUUCAAAACACUAUGAUUUUUUACGAAUUGUCCCAAUCCAAAAAUGGUUAAAAUAAACUCUGCACAAAGCUAGUCCCUAGUUAUAGCACAUAUAAAAGUUUUUUAUCAGAAUAACAGGCGAAGUUUAGGGGGGAAUAUAGGAGUGAACUUGUCUGUCGGUCUUUCGGCCUGUCUGUCGGUCCGUAUUAAGUGUCUGCUCUCUAAUUCAAAUAGUUUUCAUCCGAUCUUCACCAAACUUGGUCAGAAGUUGUAUCUACAUGAUGUCUAGGCCAAGUUCGAACAUGGGCCUUGUCGGGUUAAAAACUAGGGCACGGGGUCACUUGGUGCGUUUUUAACAUUCUGCAUGUUGUCCGCUCUCUAAUUCAAGUAGUUUUCAUCCAAUCCUCACCAAACUUGGUCACAAGUUUUUUCUAAUAUCUCUAGGACAAGUUUGAACAUGGGCCAUUCCGGGCCUUAAAAACUAGGUCACCGGGUCACUUUGUGCAUUUUUAACAUUCAGCAUGUUGUCCGCUCUCUAAUUCAAGUAGUUUACAUCCGAUCUUCACCAAACUUGGUCUGAAGUUUUAUGGAGAUGAUCUUAAGGCCAAGUUAGAACAUGGGCCUUUCUGGGUGAAAAACUAGGUCAAGGGGUCACUUAGUGCAUUUUAAAAAUUGAGCAUGGUGCCCGCUGUUUUUGUGAAGACGACAUGCAAAAUAUUAUGUAUCAAUGGGGCUUGUGGGGGUAUUCGUCACAUCUGUGACAAAGCUCUAGUUUGCUUAUUUCACUAAGUUUAAUUACUAUUUUGAACUCACAUCUAUUGUUUCUUAUUAAAUGCCAUACAGUUGUAUCGUCACACAUUUAAAGUUGUUAAGUCUCAGGUAUAAGUCAUAAACUGUCACAUUUAAAGGUGUGCAGACUCACACUUAAAUACUAGUACGUAGAUUGUAACAUUUAAAGUUGUGUUGUCUCACAUUUUAAAUUGCUGAGUAUCACAUUUAAAAUUAUGUAGUCUCAAAUUUAAAGUUCUAUAGUCACACAAUUAAAGGUGUACUAUCUCACAUUCUAAAUUGCUCAAGUUAUGCCUGUUUUUGAUUUACAAAAAAUAAAUACACAACACAUGUAUAACACCUUGCUACAAAACCAAAAAUUUCAAGUUGGUGCGCGUAAAAAUUGAUUCUACGUUAUUAAGAAAUUCAGCACGAAGACAUCUUGCGUCAGACUACCAAGCCUCCUAUCAAUAUCUCCUCCCAUGUUGGCUUCAUCAACACUUCCAACAGAGCCUUGGUGAGUUCGACUUCCGUCUCAGCAUCGAUGUCGCUUAGCAACAAUUGGAUGAUGGGCGUCGACAAAUUAGGCCGGACAAGUCGCUCAAACUGAAACGAUCUGAUCCAACAGGUAGAGCAGGCAUUGCGUGACACGUCCGUUAAUGUGACUGACCUCAUUAUGUUGUUCUCGAAUAAUGUGAACCUUAGGCCUGGAGAGCAGUUUGCGAUUGACGCCAUUCAACAACAGUUGUUGUUGGCAAUUCUCUGGUUUGGGGUGGGGACUUCGGCGUCAGGACUCGCUCCAUCUCUGUCCAUGGCCCAGUCGCAGCAGCAGCAACAAGAAAAAUAAAGCCUGUUCCUACAGGAACCUAUGCAAUCAUAGAUCGGUACCUAGCUGAACAACAGGCUGUAUGGUCAGCUGGUCCCAGACGCCCAGUGACACUUCCUGGCCCAGGACCUUGGGGCAAAUGCUCAACUAUACCUACCCGCAGGGUGGAGCCACUCUGAACCUGGGGCUCCAUACUUUCUUGGCCAGGGGCCAAGUUUACCUUGUCAAUAAGGUACAUGUAGGGACACAUUCCUUGGAUGCCCUAAGGUUUCUCUAUCUGUUCACAAAGGCUUUAUACUCACAAGUUCAAGCCCAGUGAGCGAUGUUCACAUUAUCAAACUCUGCAUAUCAAUAGAAACCCUGAUAUCAAAGCAUUGAGCUUGUUCUUGAAGCAUUUGCACCAGCGACAGUCAUCAUCUCGAGUUACUGGCAUCUCUAUGGUGUGAAACCCUCCGUCUUUGAACAUCAUAACAGCACAUGAACCAGUGGCACUCAUCAUCUCAAGAUUCUGGUAUAUCCAUGGUGCAGGACCCUCGGUCUGCAAAGAUCUUGCAGAGCGAACCUCAGAUGCCAUUUGAUGAAAUCAAACCAUUCAAUCAGAAACACAGCCUGUUGCAGCAGUUGUUACCAUAUUGACCCCAGUCAAACCUAAGAAGUCCAUAGAUAAAUACUUUUUUAGAUGUGCUAGUCUUUACGUACCUCCAGGUUUGUUCAGCACUUACUCUGACUCUUUGAAUUUAAUGACGGGUGAAAAUGAAUGACCUUGUUCAGUUCGAAAUGACACAUCACAACAAUUCAAGUGGAAAGCCAGAAAGUCAUGUCAACAGCCACAUUUUGUAUGUGUAACAGCCAAGUUGUUUUCAAAGAAAAACAAUAUUUUACAUUUUAUUUUUUAUUUGACCAAUGUUUCAUGGGAAUUAUGAUGCUGUCAGUCUCUUUAUGUUGAAAGUUUUGGUUAAAAAUAGCAUGUUAAUUUUUUUUUUUUAAAGCACACAUAUUGCAUUUGUAUCCAAUGUCUUUGUCUGUAUAAUGAAUUUUUCACUACAUAUUUUGAUCCUUAUAAUGGUAUAUGUAUGGGAAAAACAAUUUUAUCAAAGAUAUUCUAAGAUUGUCAAGUCUGUUUAAAUGAUGCUGGUAACUUUGACAAAAUUGAAAAAAAAGGAGUAUUUUCAUAUUAUAAGAUAUGUUUCAGUUGUCUGUUUUUACCCGUAAUAUAGAUAAGCUAAUUUAAUGAAUUGUUCACGAAGGUUUAUAACUUUUACGCUUCAGCUUUUUCUGUCUUUUAAUCCUUCCGAAAACAAUACUAGUCAAUUUGCUGAUUUGGGUCGGUAUUCGAUCAUGAAUCUUGUUUAGUAGCAUACUAUUUCAUUGGAAUAAUAAUACAUUCUGGGAAAAAUUAUUUAAUCUAACUAAAAUUAUUGAUUCUGUAAAUACCACUUUGUUGAUUUCAAUGGAUAUUGUUUGUAAAAUUAAUAUAGUAUGACUAUUGCGUGUUUGGGAAAGCUUUUAAUGAAACUGAGUAUUAUAAAAAACAAAAAAACAAAUAAAGAGUUUUAUGAAAAUUGUCAAAACUUAUUAUUGUUAAUUUGUGUUGUUAGAUCAUAGAUGUGUAUGCUCACAAUUGUUAAACUUUGUUUUUGGACACAAUAGUUUAUUAUGCGUAUCCUCUUUAAUAAGUGAGUAACUUAAUCAAGAUUUAUUGAUCACUGUAUAUAUUCUGUAGGUAUAUUUUGCCAUUUAUACAUAAAGCAACUGUAGAACAAUUGUAUUUUAAAUGUAAAUUAUUCUUGUAUUGUUGCCAUUUGUAUAAUAUAAACUAACUGUUUACCUUAGUUUGUAAAAACCUUUGUAAAAAAACAUUUCCUGUGUGAAUGCUCAUAUAUAUAUUAAACUGUUAAAAUAAUGCACAGUACCAGAAAAAAAUAGUCAAUUACACAGUAAGGGAAAGUGUUGUCAUAUGCUAACAAUUGUAUAAAAUUGCAAUUGUCUCUAUUUGUAAUAAUAGAGAGCAAUAUUAUUUGCUUAAAAAAUAAAGAUGUCUGCUUUGUAAAUUAAUAAUUGUGUUUACAUCUCAACAUAACAUAUACGCUGAUAAAAAAAAUUUACAUUUCAUUUAGUUUUGUAACAGCGCAUUUGACCUUUCACGUUGACCAUCCCACACUUGCUGUCAGUGCAGUGCCUUCAUUAGGGUCAUUUUUAUGCUCCUGGUAGGGUGGCAUAUAGCAGUUGAACUGUCCGUCAGUAUGUCAGUCUGUCCUUUUGUCCGAAAAAAACUUAAACAUUGGCCAUAACUUUUUGAAUAUUGAAGAUAGCAACUUGAUAUUUGGCAUGCAUGUGCAUCUCAUGAAGCUGCACAUAUUGAGUGGUGAAAGGUGAUGGUCAAGGUCAUCCUUCAAAGUCAAAUGUCAAAUUUAUUGCGUCUGUCCGUCCGUCCAAAACUUUAACAUUGGCCAUAACUUGUUCAAUAUUGAAGAUAGCAACUUGAUAUUUGGCAGCCAUGUGUAUCUCAUGGAGCUACACCUUUUGAGUGGUAAAAGGUCAAGGUCAUCCUUGAAGGUCAAAGGUCAAAAAAAAAAUCAAAGUGGCGUUCCUAUGAAGCUGCACAUUGUGAGUGGUUCAAGGUCAAGGUCAUUAGUCAAGGUCAUCCUUCAAGGUCAAAGGUCAAAAAAAUAAUCCAAAGCGGCGUUUUCAUGAAGCUGCACAUUGUGAGUGGUGUGAGUUCAAGGUCAAGGCCAACCGUCAAGGUCAUCCUUCAAGGUCAAAAGUAAAAAAAAAUUCAAAGCGGCGUCCUCAUGAAGCUGCACAUUUUGAGUGGUGGACGUUCAAGGUCAAGGUCAUCCUUCAAUGUCAAAGGUAAAAAAAAAAAUCAAAGCGGCGCAAUAGGGGGCAUACUGUGUUUCUGACGAACACAUCUCUUGUUUGUAAAUAUCCCACUGUUUAAGUUCAGCAAAUGUUUUAAGACCAGAUUUCCUUAAACUUGGGGGUGUUAUUAUUUUACUUUUAUUGAAUGCAUGAAACAUGUGUGUUCCGUUGUUGAAUAGCUAAACAUAGCUUGAUGUGUGUAGAUUGUGUGACAAAUGUUGAUCAAAUUGUUACAUAGAAAAAAACACAAUCUUAGUUAACUUGUAUGUGUUAAAUACCAAACACAAAUAUAAGUAUUUUGUAACAAUAUAAGUAUUGUCUUUAUUUGAAAUACAGAAUGAAAUGCAAUUUUAAAACAUGUCUUUAUAUGUUCAUCUUCUCCAAAUAAGCAUUUUGAAUAAGCAAAUAUAAUAUCUCUAUGGAAAGUAUCAGUAGGCCCCAUGCAAUCGCUUGUGUACCUCAUAUUGAUCAGGGUCUUUCUAAAUUACUUCAUGAUUGGUUAUCCCUGUCUGAAUUGUGAAAAAAGCUUCAAAAUCGUGAGAUAACUGUUAAGAGGAUUUCAAUAUUAAAAGUUAAAAUGGUAUCUUAACUGUAACCGUACAUCUGUUGCAUUUAUUUUAACAUGUUUAUAUGUUCUGGCUCCCUGAGUUUUAUAUUGUUUAUAAUCUUGCAUAUUUAAUUGUGUUUUAUAAGACAAACAUCAUUAUACUGAUAAUGUUGUUUUUGUCCAACAUUUCUAUGUAUACAAGUUGUAUGUAAAUAAUUAAAUAUGUUUAUGUUGAUGAUAUGUAUUUCCCGAUCUAAGUUUGAUGUUGAACUCUCAAUAAACGACAUGUUUUGCCAAUUAAA